rnacentral:rRNA from 1 species
AGGACGAACGCUGGCGGCGUGCUUAACACAUGCAAGUGGAGCGACGAACCGGGGCUUGCCCCGGGCAGAGCCGCGAACGGGUGAGUAACACGUGGGUUACCUGCCUUGAUGACCGGGACAACCCGAGGAAACUCGGGCUAAUACCGGAUGUGCCCGCAAGGGGAAAGGAGCUUCGGCCUCCGCAUCAAGAUGGGCCCGCGGCCCAUUAGCUUGUUGGUGAGGUAACGGCUCACCAAGGCUUCGAUGGGUAGC